rnacentral:rRNA from 1 species
GAUGAACGCUAGCGGGAGGCCUAACACAUGCAAGCCGAGCGGUAUUGUUUCUUCGGAAAUGAGAGAGCGGCGUACGGGUGCGUAACACGUGUGCAACCUGCCUUUAUCUGGGGGAUAGCCUUUCGAAAGGAAGAUUAAUACUCCAUAAUAUAUUGAACGGCAUCGUUUAAUAUUGAAAGCUCCGGCGGAUAGAGAUGGGCACGCGCAAGAUUAGCUAGUUGGUGAGGUAACGGCUCACCAAGGCGAUGAUCUUUAGGGGGCCUGAGAGGGUGAUCCCCCACACUGGUACUGAGACACGGACCAGACUCCUACGGGAGGCAGCAGUGGGGAAUAUUGGUCAAUGGGUGCAAGCCUGAACCAGCCACCCCGCGUGAAGGACGACUGCCCUAUGGGUUGUAAACUUCUUUUGUAUAGGGAUAAACCUACCCGCGGGGGGGUAGCUGAAGGUACUAAACGAAUAAGCCCCGGCUAACCCCGU